AAGUCGUAACAAGGUUUCCGUAGGUGAACCUGCGGAAGGAUCAUUAAUGAAUUCUGGUGUCUUCGGACCCAACCCCCUUCAUUUAUAUCUAUUUCCUGUGAACUGUAUUGAGUUUUGGGAUUUUCAAGUGUGUUUUCUUAAUGCAUUUGAGUAACCAAAACUCUCCCCCCCAAUUUUAAACAACGUCGUUGAAUGUUAUUUACAUCUGUGUAAUGCGGAUUAAAAACAAAAUACAACUUUUAGCAACGGAUCUCUUGGCUCUCGCAUCGAUGAAGAACGCAGCGAAAUGCGAUAAGUAAUGUGAAUUGCAGAAUUCAGUGAAUCAUCGAAUCUUUGAACGCACCUUGCACCCUUUGGUAUUCCGAAGGGUAUGCCUGUUUGAGUGUCUUGAACAUCUCAAAUCCCCAAUGNUUUGUUUAAAACGUCGUGGUAUUUGGUUUUUGAGCAUUGCCAAUUUAAAUGCUAUUGGCUUGCUUUAAAUGAAUUAGCUGGGCGCAUUUACAAGUUAAGUCUCACAAGCGUAAUAAUCUUAUUUCGNUUGGNUCUUUUUCUUCUCNUUGCAAAAANGGAGGGAAANGGGGGCUGUUUGUGUAAAUCGUUUGCUUCUAAGCAUACAAUCUCAUUUCAUUAGACCUCAAAUCAGGUAGGACUACCCGCUGAACUUAAGCAUAUCAAUAAGCGGAGGAAAAGAAACUAACAAGGAUUCCCCUAGUAACGGCGAGUGAAGCGGGAAGAGCUCAAAUUUUAANUCUCACAGUCUCAGAUUGUGCGAGUUGUAANCUAGAGAAGUGUUUUCCGUGCUGGCCUACGUACAAGUCCCUUGGAAUAGGGCGUCAUAGAGGGUGAGAAUCCCGUACUUGACGUAGACAACCAGUGCAUUGUGAUACACUUUCAAAGAGUCGAGUUGUUUGGGAAUGCAGCUCAAAAUGGGUGGUAAAUUCCAUCUAAAGCUAAAUAUUGGCGAGAGACCGAUAGCGAACAAGUACCGUGAGGGAAAGAUGAAAAGCACUUUGAAAAGAGAGUGAAACAGUACGUGAAAUUGCUAAAAGGGAAACGCUUGAAGUCAGUCGCGCUCGUCGGCAUUGGGGCUACUCAAUGCCGAUUGGGCGGGUCAGCAUCAGUUUUUCAUCGUUGUAUAAAGGCAGUUGGAAUGUGGCUUUUCGGAGUGUUAUAGCCUUCUGUCGCAUGCAACGGUUGGGACUGAGGAAUGCAGCACCGUGAUGGGGAUUUAACCCCCCACUGCGUCGGUCUUCGGACACGUAUUAUGUGCUUAGGAUGCUGGCAAAAUGGCUUUAAACGACC
rnacentral:rRNA from 1 species